AAUGUCUUAUGCAGCCAAGGAUGACUUGCCGGCAGCAUGUUCUGUGUGAGUGAAAAUGCCUUUUUUGGUUCAAUGCACAUAUGUGGGUGUUGGCCAGUUGUCCUUGGCUACAUUUAAUAUUCC
rnacentral:pre_miRNA from 1 species